AUGAUCCAGAGGUCUACGAAGAAUAAUCGUGUUUUUGCUGGAAUGGUUCGUUCAAAAGGUCGGAGUGACGACACCAUCACAAGACGAGAAGGAAUGCUCAGCAGCAGCUCCAGAAGGCAGAGUGGCGAUACGCCUUUGAAGUCAGGUUUCACAAGAGGCAAACUAAAGCGACUCUUCCCUAAACCUCUCUGCGCACGGCCAAAAGGCCAUGUUCUGUCACCUAUAAAUGAGUCAACAUGCACUGAUCACAGAUCUGUCUUGUCAACUGCUCCCUGGAUGAACAGAAUGCUGGAAUCAAAUGGAACUGAGAGCACAAUACAUUAUAGCGCAGAAGACGGUUCAAUUUCACAAGUGGGUGUUUCCUCCCUCCUGUUGGAUUGUGAUGAGACUGACUCUGCUGACAUCUCCAGCGAUACUAGCUCCAGCAGUCUGCCCUCACCUGAGCAGUUCCGCAGAGAGAAAGUCUAUGAAGAGAUAGUGGCCUUCCCCAGUGAGGAGAUGUUGGACCUGAAUGUCAAGAACUCCACUCUCCUAGAUGUCAGCCAUGCUGAGGACAUCCACAUGCAGCAGCCUCCUAACCUGUCCUCCAUCAUUGACAUUUCCCAAAUGAAUGAUGGAAAAGAUCAGGAAAAAAGCUGUUUAGCGCGACCCAUUAAAAGUACAUAUUCAGACAAGCUGUUCAAUGCCUAUGUGUCCGUUGAAAGCACCCCCCUAGCUGGAGGAGUAACUGUGCCCUCAGUCCCCAAGAAAACACAAAGGCCAGUGACGAUUAGACCCAGGAAGAUCAAAUGCAGGAAGAGAGUAAAAUUUAGUGACUCUGUUACCACUGAGAAGAUGGUAGUGAACAAUGUGGAGCCUGUCAGUGACCACAUGAUCAGUGAGAGGACCAGAGACACAGUAGACAACAGAGAAACUGCUGCCCCUGAAGUAGUCCCUCAAGUCCUGAAAAGACCCACACAUCACUCACCAGAACAAGCCAAGUUCUUUGACUUUGCAGAUGAGAAAGAAAGAGAGACCUUCUUUCAAAAGUUGAGGCAGAGGUACUCCUCCAUUAGGGUAAGCAUCCUCUCUGAAUGGUCAGUCUUUGGAUGAUUGCAGAUGCCAUGUAUCAGGAAUUUGCUCUCAUAGUAUGUUGUUUGACUGACCAUGUC
rnacentral:lncRNA from 13 species